GGUGCUUAUAAUGCAGUCGAGCGAAUGGAUUGAGAGCUUGCUCUCAAGAAGUUAGCGGCGGACGGGUGAGUAACACGUGGGUAACCUGCCCAUAAGACUGGGAUAACUCCGGGAAACCGGGGCUAAUACCGGAUAAUAUUUUGAACUGCAUGGUUCGAAAUUGAAAGGCGGCUUCGGCUGUCACUUAUGGAUGGACCCGCGUCGCAUUAGCUAGUUGGUGAGGUAACGGCUCACCAAGGCAACGAUGCGUAGCCGACCUGAGAGGGUGAUCGGCCACACUGGGACUGAGACACGGCCCAGACUCCUACGGGAGGCAGCAGUAGGGAAUCUUCCGCAAUGGACGAAAGUCUGACGGAGCAACGCCGCGUGAGUGAUGAAGGCUUUCGGGUCGUAAAACUCUGUUGUUAGGGAAGAACAAGUGCUAGUUGAAUAAGCUGGCACCUUGACGGUACCUAACCAGAAAGCCACGGCUAACUACGUGCCAGCAGCCGCGGUAAUACGUAGGUGGCAAGCGUUAUCCGGAAUUAUUGGGCGUAAAGCGCGCGCAGGUGGUUUCUUAAGUCUGAUGUGAAAGCCCACGGCUCAACCGUGGAGGGUCAUUGGAAACUGGGAGACUUGAGUGCAGAAGAGGAAAGUGGAAUUCCAUGUGUAGCGGUGAAAUGCGUAGAGAUAUGGAGGAACACCAGUGGCGAAGGCGACUUUCUGGUCUGUAACUGACACUGAG
rnacentral:rRNA from 1 species